UACGUAGGGGGCAAGCGUUGUCCGGAAUCAUUGGGCGUAAAGCGCGUGUAGGCGGCUCGAUAAGUCUGCUGUGAAAAGUUCAGGGCUCAACCCUGAAAUGCCGGUGGAAACUGUCGAGCUAGAGUCCGGAAGAGGCGAGUGGAAUUCCUGGUGUAGCGGUGAAAUGCGCAGAUAUUCAGGAGGAACACCAUGGCGAAGGCAGCUCGCUGGGCGGUACUGACGCUGAGACGAGAACGUGGGGGAGCAAACAGG
rnacentral:rRNA from 1 species